CCUACGGGAGGCUGCAGUGGGGGAUAUUGCACACUGGGGGAAACCCUGAUGCAGCGACGCCGCGUGAGUGAAGAAGUAUUUCGGUAUGUAAAGCUCUAUCAGCAGGGAAGAAACUGACAGUACCUGAGUAAGAAGCCCCAGCUAACUACGUGCCAGCAGCCGCGGUAAUACGUAGGGGGCAAGCGUUAUCCGGAAUUACUGGGUGUAAAGGGAGCGUAGACGGCAAUGCAAGUCCGGCGUGGAAUGCGGCAGCUUAACUGCCGAACUGCUCUGGAAACUGUAUGGCUUGAGUGCAGGAGGGGUAAGCGGAAUUCGUGGUGUAGCGGUGAAAUGCGUAGAUAUCAGGAGGAACACCGGUGGCGAAGGCGGCUUACUGGACUGUAACUGACGUUGAGGCUCGAAAGCGUGGGGAGCAAACAGGAUUAGAUACCCGAGUAGUC
rnacentral:rRNA from 1 species